CAAGUGUCCUGGCAUGCAGAGCCUGUGUCUCCUGUGGACAGUCAUCAACACCUUGGGAUCUGUCCUGCAAUGCGGCUGCCAGGUUCCAGCUCAGCUCUCUGCAGGCCGCAUGCAGGAGCAACAGCACCAACCGUAUAGACUGAUACCAUGAGAAGCCUGUGAACUGUAGUACUUCUGCACCUCGGCAUAGUAGAGCACUCUCCUCAACAUUUCACCUGACUCCACAAAGGACAGGUGAUCUGAAAACUUGUCUUGAAGUUUACUUAGUUUGAGGACAAGAGAGAAGCAAAGCAAAAUAACUCUGUUCAACCCCCUGUUCAGAAGGGGCAGGAGUUGUAUUGAUGUACGGAAUUAGACUCUAUAACUCGAAAGUUAUAAAGUAGGUAUGUUUAUUGCGCGCAGAUGCACGGGGGAUCGCUCCUCCACAAGCGCGCAUGCCCAAAGUGACGAACCAUCUCACAUUUAUACAAUAAAACAAAUGAAUAUUCAA